rnacentral:rRNA from 1 species
GACGAACGCUGGCGGCGUGCUUAACACAUGCAAGUCGAACGGAAAGGCCCUGCUUUUGUGGGGUGCUCGAGUGGCGAACGGGUGAGUAACACGUGAGUAACCUGCCCUUGACUUUGGGAUAACUUCAGGAAACUGGGGCUAAUACCGGAUAGGAGCUCCUGCUGCAUGGUGGGGGUUGGAAAGUUUCGGCGGUAGGGGAUGGACUCGCGGCUUAUCAGCUUGUUGGUGGGGUAGUGGCUUACCAAGGCUUUGACGGGUAGCCGGCCUGAGAGGGUGACCGGGCACAUUGGGACUGAGAUACGGCCCAGACUCCUACGGGAGGCAGCAGUGGGGAAUAUUGCACAAUGGGCGGAAGCCUGAUGCAGCAACGCCGCGUGCGGGAUGACGGCCUUCGGGUUGUAAACCGCUUUCGCCUGUGACGAAGCGUGAGUGACGGUAAUGGGUAAAGAAGCACCGGCUAACUACGUG